rnacentral:rRNA from 1 species
CCUACGGGCGGCAGCAGUGAGGAAUAUUGGUCAAUGGACGAGAGUCUGAACCAGCCAAGUAGCGUGAAGGAUGACUGCCCUAUGGGUUGUAAACUUCUUUUAUAUGGGAAUAAAAUGUUCCACGUGUGGGAUUUUGUAUGUACCAUAUGAAUAAGGAUCGGCUAACUCCGUGCCAGCAGCCGCGGUAAUACUGAGGAUCCGAGCGUUAUCCGGAUUUAUUGGGUUUAAAGGGAGCGUAGGUGGAUUGUUAAGUCAGUUGUGAAAUUUUGCGGCACAACCGUAAAAUUGCAGUUGAAACUGGCAGUCUUGAGUACAGUAGAGGUGGGCGGAAUUCGUGGUGUAGCGGUGAAAUGCUUAGAUAUCACGAAGAACUCCGAUUGCGAAGGCAGCUCACUGGACUGCAACUGACACUGAGGCUCGAAAGUGUGGGUAUCAAACAGGAUUAGAUACCCGGGUAGUC